rnacentral:rRNA from 1 species
GAUGAACGCUGGCGGCGUGCCUAAUACAUGCCAGUCGAGCGAACAGACGAGGAGCUUGCUCCUCUGACGUUAGCGGCGGACGGGUGAGUAACACGUGGAUAACCUACCUAUAAGACUGGGAUAACCUCGGGAAACCGGAGCUAAUACCGGAUAACAUGUUGAACCGCAUGGUUCAACAGUGAAAGACGGUUUUGCUGUCACUUAUAGAUGGAUCCGCGUCGCAUUAGCUAGUUGGUAAGGUAACGGCUUACCAAGGCAACGAUGCGUAGCCGACCUGAGAGGGUGAUCGGCCACACUGGAACUGAGACACGGUCCAGACUCCUACGGGAGGCAGCAGUAGGGAAUCUUCCGCAAUGGGCGAAAGCCUGACGGAGCAACGCCGCGUGAGUGAAGAAGGUCUUCGGAUCGUAAAACUCUGUUAUUAGGGAAGAACAAAUGUGUAAGUAACUAUGCACGUCUUGACGGUACCUAAUCAGAAAGCCACGGCUAACUACGUG